UCACGAGAAACGUGAUCAAUGGAAGACUGACCCUCUAGCCGUUUUCAAAUCAAUGCUAUCCUGGGAAAGUGACGAGCCACAAUGUAUGGCCACUAAUAACUUUUCAUUGGACUGUCUUCUCUUCCUUCAAGUGGAACCCGAUCAAUCCAUUGAGGAACGAAAUAUUCGAAUUCGUACGUCAUCAACUCGGAACGUAUAGACUCUGAAGCGAGUGUUUUGAAGAGCUCUCGAUGGAACCAUACAUUUGUGUAUUAGGCUGGCUCCUUCACGCUUCACACUAAUGUCGCUCGACGAGUGUAAAAGUGUAACGGCGUAUUGGCAUUUAUUUGUCACGCAAAAUUCAUCCAACCUUUGGCUGAAAGGUGAAGCUCUGGCUGGCAUGCAUUGGAAACCUAUCGACGACAAGAAACUACGUUCUCAUGUACGUACUCAUACCUUUGAGAGCUGCACGGACGCAUUCACCCCCACGUGUUCAAAUCAUGGACGGCCUGAUUUCCUUGAAAGGGUAUUUAUGCUCUUCAAGGGUUGAUCAGAAAAUCUAUUACUGUCUAUUGAAUUUGAAGUACAACAAGGAAGCUUAUAUUUGGAAUACCCGAGAUCGAACCAGACUUCAAGUAUCACGCGACUCUAACCCAUCCCUGGUUGUCCAAGAAUGACAUGAAAUGGACACAAGUUGUGCCACUAAGGAAGAAAUGAUGGACGAUUGAGAGCAAAACAACUUCAGUAACUAGACUAUAUCUAGCAUGAUUGAUCUUGACGUGGCAUACUCUGUGAUUCCGACUUUGCGUCAAUAAAUUUGUAAACUUUGCUCUAUA